rnacentral:lncRNA from 1 species
GACAAGGGCCAUUCUGAGAGCAACAGUUCUCCUUUCGAAGUUUGUUCUUACCUUUUUCUUGGUGAAGUUGAGGGUAUAGGAGAAGUCUCACUGGGAGAGGCCUGCCACCUGCCUUCCCGCUCCCUUCCUCCUCUGUCAGCAGGACUCUGAAUUUAUCUGGGGCCUAAGGGUUCAUAGUAGACCCUGCAGAAGAGUGCUGGGUAUGACAUCUGCACAUAUCUCUAAUACCCUCCUGUGCACUAGCAUUGAUCUGCUCGAUACCGUCUCUACUAGACUGAGUGAGAAUGAGUUGUUCUCAGUGUAGGCUUGGUGCUGAGAGAUACUCAGCUAUCUUCUAGCCUGGUGUCACCUCUGAGCAGAACCUGACCUGUGCGGAUGAGACCGGUGGGUGUGCACUGAGGACACCCUGGGGAGCUGGUUAUGGGACACGUUUGAGCUCUGAUGUGUGCAGGUGGGAAUGCACUUCACAAAGCAUCCAGGAACACAUUGUCACCUCAGACCUUGUUUUCUUCUCAUCUGUGACACCAGACUUCAGCGGCUCAUCGUCCUGGCUUAAGCACUGAGAAUGAGAGCCUGAACGGUCAGACUUUGAAGUCACGCAUGGUGGCAUUCCUUGUCACCAGGUGCAGCAGGAGAGUGCCCACACACAAGAUUGCCACCUCUCCAAUCAGCUCCCCUCCACACUGUCUCAAUGCCCAUUUUCCAAAGGCACCUGGGUCCAGUCUGAGAGGCGUUCUGGAUGGGGCUUCCUAACCUCAGUGCAUCAGAGAGAAUAAGCUUCAUUCCUGCUCCCUUCAAUCCUGUGACCCCAAGAAUACAUCAGGCAGACCUGUCCAGUGAUGUUAGAUCAUAUGUGAAGCUCUGCACUGGGUCAGUAUGACUCAGCCCUUAUCCGGUCACUGCCUCACUCUCCCUUCGCUUUCCCUCCUGCUUUGACCGAGGCUGGGACUUUGCUGCAGUGGAGUGAGGCCCUUCUCUCUAGUGGGUUCUGAACUGGAGUCACACAGCUGGCUAGUAAAUCGAAUUUGAUAAAUAAACA